rnacentral:rRNA from 1 species
AUUGAACGCUGGCGGCAUGCUUUACACAUGCAAGUCGAACGGUAACAGGCCGCAAGGUGCUGACGAGUGGCGAACGGGUGAGUAAUGCAUCGGAACGUGCCCAGUCGUGGGGGAUAACUACUCGAAAGAGUAGCUAAUACCGCAUACGAUCUAUGGAUGAAAGCGGGGGACGGUAAGGCCUCGCGCGAUUGGAGCGGCCGAUGUCAGAUUAGGUAGUUGGUGGGGUAAAGGCUCACCAAGCCAACGAUCUGUAGCUGGUCUGAGAGGACGACCAGCCACACUGGGACUGAGACACGGCCCAGACUCCUACGGGAGGCAGCAGUGGGGAAUUUUGGACAAUGGGCGCAAGCCUGAUCCAGCAAUGCCGCGUGCAGGAAGAAGGCCUUCGGGUUGUAAACUGCUUUUGUACGGAACGAAACGGCUCUGGUUAAUACCCGGGGCUAAUGACGGUACCGUAAGAAUAAGCACCGGCUAACUACGUG